ACGGGGUGCAGCAGGCGCGAAACCUUUGCAAUGUGCGCAAGCACGACAAGGUUAAUCCGAGUGUUUCCUGCUAAAGGAAUCUUUUGUUAGUCGUAAAACCACUGAUGAAUAAGGGGUGGGCAAGUUCUGGUGUCAGCCGCCGCGGUAAAACCAGCACCUCAAGUGGUCAGGAGGAUUAUUGGGCCUAAAGCAUCCGUAGCCGGCUCUGCAAGUUUUCGGUUAAAUCCAUUUGCUUAACAAAUGGGCUGCCGAAGAUACUACAUAGCUAGGGAGUGGGAGAGGUAGACGGUAUUCGGUAGGAAGGGGUAAAAUCCUUUGAUCUAUUGAGGACCACCUAUGGCGAAGGCAGUCUACCAGAACACGUUCGACGGUGAGGGAUGAAAGCUGGGGGAGCAAACCGGAUUAGAUACCCGGGUAGUCCCAGCUGUAAACGAUGCAGACUCGGUGAUGCACUGGCUUGUGGCCAGUGCAGUGCCGCAGGGAAGCCGUUAAGUUUGCCGCCUGGGAAGUACGUACGCAAGUAUGAAACUUAAAGGAAUUGGCGGGGGAGCAC
rnacentral:rRNA from 2 species